CGGACGGGUGAGUAACACGUGGAUAACCUACCUAUAAGACUGGGAUAACUACGGGAAACCGGAGCUAAUACCGGAUAAUAUAUUGAACCGCAUGGUUCAAUAGUGAAAGACGGUUUUGCUGUCACUUAUAGAUGGAUCCGCGCCGCAUUAGCUAGUUGGUAAGGUAACGGCUUACCAAGGCAACGAUGCGUAGCCGACCUGAGAGGGUGAUCGGCCACACUGGAACUGAGACACGGUCCAG
rnacentral:rRNA from 2 species